rnacentral:rRNA from 1 species
UUAUGUGCCUUCGGGAACCGUGAGACAGGUGCUGCAUGGCUGUCGUCAGCUCGUGUUGUGAAAUGUUGGGUUAAGUCCCGCAACGAGCGCAACCCUUAUCCUUUGUUGCCAGCGGUCCGGCCGGGAACUCAAAGGAGACUGCCAGUGAUAAACUGGAGGAAGGUGGGGAUGACGUCAAGUCAUCAUGGCCCUUACGACCAGGGCUACACACGUGCUACAAUGGCGCAUACAAAGAGAAGCGACCUCGCGAGAGCAAGCGGACCUCAUAAAGUGCGUCGUAGUCCGGAUUGGAGUCUGCAACUCGACUCCAUGAAGUCGGAAUCGCUAGUAAUCGUGGAUCAGAAUGCCACGGUGAUUACGUUCCCGG